CCGAGUUCUAAAAGACUCCCAAACCACUGUGAACCUACCGCUAUUGUUGCCUCGGCAGGCCCGCGUCUCCCCGGAGCUACCCUGGAGCUACCCUGUAGCUACCCUGGAGAGCUGCCCCGGAGGCGCGCUACAGGGCCUGCCGGUGGUCUACCGAACUCUUGUUACUGUGAGAAAUUCUGAGUCCAUGAAUAAAUAAGUUA
rnacentral:misc_RNA from 1 species